rnacentral:tRNA from 1 species
GGCCCGGUCGUCUAGAGGCCUAGGAUGCCUCCCUUUCAAGGAGGAGACCACGGGUUCGAAUCCCGUCCGGGCUA